GAAACACCCUUAUGGGGCAGGACUUGCUUCAGUGGGGCUUUGGUGCUCACUGAGUCUGCCCCCUGAGUGUGUCCCU
rnacentral:pre_miRNA from 1 species